GGUCGGUCUCAGAUUAGCCAUGCAUGUCUAAGUUCAAGCCUUUAUAUGGCUAAACCGCGAAUGGCUCAUUAAAUCAGCUAUAGUUCCUUAGAUCUUAUGACAUUUACAUGGAUAACUGUGGUAAUUCUAGAGCUAAUACAUGCCAAAUUACCCUGAUCGCAAGUGAUGGGUGGAUUUAUUAGUAUCAAAACCAAUCGAUGCUUCAUUGCAUUGUAGUUUUGGUGAAUCUGGAUAACUUUUCUGAUCGCAUAGCCUUGCGCUAGCGACGUAUCUUUCAAAUGUCUGCCCUAUCAACUAUUGAUGGUAGGUGAUAUGCCUACCAUGGUUUUGACGGGUAACGGGGAAUCAGGGUUCGAUUCCGGAGAGGGAGCCUUAGAAACGGCUACCACAUCUAAGGAAGGCAGCAGGCGCGCAAAUUACCCACUCUCAGCUCGAGGAGGUAGUGACAAAAAAUAACGAUGCAGAACUCAUUAGAGGCUCUGUAAUUGGAAUGAGUACAAUUUAAAUCCUUUAACGAGGAACAAUUGGAGGGCAAGUCUGGUGCCAGCAGCCGCGGUAACUCCAGCUCCAAUAGCGUAUAUUAAAGUUGUUGCAGUUAAAAAGCUCGUAGUUGGAUCUCAGGUUGGGAUUAGUGGUUGUCUUUGCGAUUUAUCAUUAAUCACUCCUGAUUAGUCGUAUGUUAGUUAAAGUGUUGUUUAUUCAAUGCUCUAGCUACACGGCACGUUUACUUUGAAAAAAUUAGAGUGCUUAAAGCAGGCCUUGUGCUUGAAUAUUGUUGCAUGGAAUAAUGGAAUAGGACUUCUGUUCUAUUUUGUUGGUUUUCGGAAAAGAAGUAAUGAUUAAAAGAGACAGACGGGGGCAUCUGUAUGGCGGUGUUAGAGGUGAAAUUCGAUGAUCAUCGCCAGACAAUCUACUGCGAAAGCAUUUGCCAAGGAUGUUUUCAUUAAUCAAGAACGAAAGUCAGAGGUUCGAAGACGAUCAGAUACCGUCCUAGUUCUGACCAUAAACGAUGCCAACUGACAAUCAGUGGGAAUUACUUUUUUUCCUACUGGCAGUCCCCGGGAAACCUUUAAGUUUUUAGGUUCUGGGGGGAGUAUGGUUGCAAAUCCGAAACUUAAAGGAAUUGACGGAAGGGCACCACCAGGUGUGGAGCCUGCGGCUUAAUUUGACUCAACACGGGAAAACUCACCCGGCCCGGACACUGUUAGGAUAGACAGAUUGAUAGCUCUUUCUUGAUUCAGUGGGUGGUGGUGCAUGGCCGUUCUUAGUUGGUGGAGUGAUUUGUCUGGUUAAUUCCGAUAACGAACGAGACUCUGUCCUGCUAAAUAGUGUGCUUGUAUUUUUUGCAAGUUACACUUCUUAGAGGGAUUCGCUACGUUUAGUGGCACGAGAUUGAGCAAUAACAGGUCUGUGAUGCCCUUAGAUGUCCGGGGCCGCACGUGCGCUACACUGACAAUAUCAAUGAGUAUAUUCCUGAGCCGAGACGUUUGGGAAAUCUUUUGAAAUAUUGUCAUGUCAGGGAUUGGGGCUUGUAAUUAUUCCCCAUGAACGAGGAAUACCCAGUAAGCGCAAGUCAUCAGCUUGCGCUGAUUACGUCCCUGCCCUUUGUACACACCGCCCGUCGCUACUACCGAUUGAAUGGUUUAGUGAGGCUUUUGGAUCGAGAUUGGUUGAGUAGUUUCUACUCGGCUAGUUUUGAGAAGAUAGUCAAACUUGAUCAUUUAGAGGAAGAAAAGUCCGCCCACG
rnacentral:rRNA from 1 species